GAAAAGGACAUGGGGAGUGAACCUAAAAUCCAGAGACUCAGUGGUUCUCCUGAGGCAGUUUCCCCAUCUGAAGAAGGGCCGAGACCUCCCACAAAACAAACAGAAACUUGGAGCAGGUUGGUCAGUGGAACUGCUGAUAGGGGUGCUUAUUAAGCAUCUUCUGUGUGCUGAGGACUAUGCUAGGACCUGGACGUCCAACUGUGGGCUAGACCCCAUGCCUACCAUCAAGAAACUUGUCAUCUAGAAGAGACAGGU